rnacentral:misc_RNA from 1 species
GAUGAAGAACGUAGCGAAAUGCGAUAAGUAAUGUGAAUUGCAGAAUUCAGUGAAUCAUCGAAUCUUUGAACGCACAUUGCGCCCGCCAGUAUUCUGGCGGGCAUGACUGUUCGAGCGUCAUUUCAACCAUCAAGCCCCCGGCUUGUGUUGGGGACCUGCGGCUGCCGCAGGCCCUGAAAAGCAGUGGCGGGCUCGCUGUCACACCGAGCGUAGUAGCAUACAUCUCGCUCUGGGCGUGCUGCGGGUUCCGGCCGUUAAACCACCUUCAUAACCCAAGGUUGACCUCGGAUCAGGUAGGAAGACCCGCUGAACUUAAGCAUAUCAAUAAGCGGAGGA